CAUGAAGUUAUUGGUGUUUGUCGCUUUGUUGGGUUAUGCCCUCGCCUCUGAAUUAGAGCACAAUUUUGAUGCAAUCAAUAAAGGAGGUCGUAGUGGCAAUCAGCGUUCCACCUUACCAGGACCACCAAUUCUAGCUGAUCCAAGGGAAAAUGAAACUUCAUACUGGGUUGAUAUGGCACAAAGCACUUUAGCUUCAAAACUCGGAAAGCGUCUGAAUAAAAAUAUGGCUAAAA